rnacentral:lncRNA from 1 species
UCAGAUUCGAGUGGACGUUACAGUUGAGCGCGCCGUCAACUCAACGAUAGUUAACGUUAGUAGAUAGAAAAUAUAAUAACUAAUACCAAAAGAAGAAACUGUGUGCGAGCGAUUACGAGUACGAGUAAUACGCAACCGUUGGUUAGUGGCGUUGCAUAAAAAUAGUCGACGAGUGACGCUUUGCAGAUUUUAAAGAAUCUCCAAUCGCGCGUGUGUAAACAAGCUCCGGUAGUGCCACUGAAAUAAUUAAUUAAAAUUCGCCAAAAUUUGUUUGCAAAAUGACGAAGGUUGAACUUUAUAAAUCACGCGUGUUCGUCACCAUUAUACAUCUGUUUGCUUUGGGC